UGUCAUUAGUUGCCAUCAUUAAGUUGGGCACUCUAAUGAGACUGCCGGUGACAAACCGGAGGAAGGUGGGGAUGACGUCAAGUCAUCAUGCCCCUUAUGACCUGGGCUACACACGUGCUACAAUGGACGGUACAACGAGAAGCGAACCUGCGAAGGCAAGCGGAUCUCUUAAAGCCGUUCUCAGUUCGGACUGUAGGCUGCAACUCGCCUACACGAAGCUGGAAUCGCUAGUAAUCGCGGAUCAGCACGCCGCGGUGAAUACGUUCCCGGGCCUUGUACACACCGCCCGUCACACCAUGAGAGUCUGUAACACCCAAAGCCGGUGGGAUAACCUUUAUAGGAGUCAGCCGUCUAAGGUAGGACAGAUGAUUAGGGUGAAGUCGUAACAAGGUAGCCGUAGGAGAACCUGCGGCUGGAUCACCUCCUUUCUAAGGAA
rnacentral:rRNA from 1 species